GUGGGGAAUAUUGGACAAUGGGGGGAACCCUGAUCCAGCCAUGCCGCGUGUGUGAAGAAGGCCUUUUGGUUGUAAAGCACUUUAAGCGAGGAGGAGGCUACCGAGAUUAAUACUCUUGGAUAGUGGACGUUACUCGCAGAAUAAGCACCGGCUAACUCUGUGCCAGCAGCCGCGGUAAUACAGAGGGUGCAAGCGUUAAUCGGAUUUACUGGGCGUAAAGCGCGCGUAGGUGGUCAAUUAAGUCAAAUGUGAAAUCCCCGAGCUUAACUUGGGAAUUGCAUUCGAUACUGGUUGGCUAGAGUAUGGGAGAGGAUGGUAGAAUUCCAGGUGUAGCGGUGAAAUGCGUAGAGAUCUGGAGGAAUACCGAUGGCGAAGGCAGCCAUCUGGCCUAAUACUGACACUGAGGUGCGAAAGCAUGGGGAGCAAACAGGAUUAGAAACCCUAGUAGUCC
rnacentral:rRNA from 1 species